UAUGGAGAACUUGCAAAAUGCAUAUAUGCCUAUGAUUAAUGUGUCGUGUAUAUUAGGAUUUGAUAUUUGCAAGCAUGUUGUCAUUUAUAUACUUACUAAUUUAGAACAGCCACUUGAACAGUUCUUGAAUUUCAUUGGCUGAGAUGUAUAUUUUCUUCGGUUUUUUCUUUGCUUUGUUGUAAGCACAAUUGUUUUAAUGUAUUGGGCUUUUCUCUUUCGUGUAUCUUCAAAGCCACGUGUUUAGAUGUGUUGUCCACCGCUACAACACCCAAUAGAAAUAACCAUGCUGUCACUCACUCAACAUCCACCGAUCCAAUCCACCGCUUCUUUUUUACUUCCCUCCAUCACCUCUCACUUGAUCUUCCCUUCCUACUCACUCAUGUUGGCCUCUUCAAAUCGUUGCCUGAUCCUGAUGAUUACACCUUCUCCUCCUCUAAUUAUGUUCUCAUCUUAGACGGUUCCUCCCCCUCCCUCCUCCCUGUCCCCGUCCACGUCGUUACCGCCUCCAUCAAAGCUAAAGUCCCAAUCAUACCCUACUCCGAUUUCGCCUACAGUCAUGGCGAAUCAGAGACGGCGGCGUUCAACUGCUGUUAGUUUGAUAUCUCUCAUCGGCUUCUUCUUCUCCUCCGGAUACAGACGGCCCUUCCACCGUUACCGAUUCCGACGCCAUUAUCCUCGAGUUGAAAUUCUGUCAAUGGAACACGAUUCUGUUGAAAAUAAAAUUUAUGCGUAUGAGGAUGAUGUCGUUUGGGUGAAUUCUAGGGUUCCAAGAUAUUUCCUGAUUUUUUGCUUAAUAAGGCAAUUGGGAUCUGCUUUCUUGGACGAGACGAAUGAAAUCUGUGUUUCCAGUGUUCCUGUUAGUCUGUCACCUGAGCUUUGGAAGGAAGACAACUGGAGGUGGGAAAUCAACUCUAAUCCAGGUUCUAACAUCUCCACCCUCAGACUGUAUAUGUUCCUUGCACUUGAUAAAGAUAUGAACAGAACACUGAGCAAGCAAGAGCUUUGAGAGUAUGCAGACGGGACACUCACAUAUAUUUUUAUCGAGAAGGCUUUUGAUGAGAAUUGAAAACAAAGGCACUCCAUAGGGAAUUACAUAUCGUUUCUGAUGUUUAGAUCUUAAUAGAAGAGGCUUCCUUACAAGUGUUGAUAUUCACACCCUUUGUAGGUAUAACUAAUUAUUUUUUGAUUAUUAUUAGGAAAUAGGAAUGACUUUUCAACAUCAUACGUUAUCAGGUUCCGUGUAGUUUGACAAUGGAACAAGUGAAAACAUACCAGAGACGCAGAGACCAAACAAGAAAUGUUAUAAAAGGAGUGAAGCUAUGGUGGUGUGUGUUUGAUCAUACAACUGGAAAUAAGUGAUAAUUCGUUGUUCAAAGAUUUAGAGAGAUUUUUGUGCAUAUGGACCAGUGGUGUUAAACAUACUUGGGUUGGAUAUGACACAUGUUCUAUUUACUAUUUUGGAUUGUUAGUAGCUAAUUUCUUCAAAAUGCUAAAUAAACUAACUAUUCAAGUAUGGGUUAUUAAUGGUGUUAUAGUUACAUAAUUAACAAUUCAAUUAGAGAGCUAUAUCACUCCACUAAAAUUGUAUACAUUAAAGCUAUUUUGUUUGUUCUGUUAUGAGCCGUUUUGUAUUUAUUUUUUCAGAUUCUUGGUCAUUCACUUGGUAGUGGCACACCAAAGUAGAUUGUUAUUUGUUGCAUUUUCAUA